UACGUAGGUGGCAAGCGUUGUCCGGAUUUACUGGGCGUAAAGGGCGUGCAGGCGGUUUGUUAAGUGCAGAGUGAAAGCUCCCGGCUCAACUGGGAGAGGUCUUUGCAUACUGGCAAACUCGAGGGAGGCAGAGGAAAGUGGAAUUCCCGGUGUAGUGGUGAUAUGCGUAGAUAUCGGGAGGAACACCUGUGGCGAAGGCGGCUGUCUGGGCCUUACCUGACGCUGAGACGCGAAAGCGUGGGGAGCGAACCGG
rnacentral:rRNA from 1 species